UCGUGACGCGGAGGACUACAGAACCCAUACAGAAAAGGGAGGCAUUAGGGGACCGACAGGGCUAGUAGCUUAUACGUUGUUGAACGUCCAGUAUGGACCCGAAGCCUCCCCCAUCUAAACCCUCUGCGUACCCGUCCCUUCUUGCUUCCCCCGGCAUCUCGUCGGGGGGAGGUAACAACCAAAACUCUAUGUGAAUCAAACAGCCGUCAGAAUUAUAAAACAAACAAAAAGUUAAAACUUUCAACAACGGAUCUCUUGGUUCCCACAUCGAUGAAGAACGCAGCGAAAUGCGAUAAGUAAUGUGAAUUGCAGAAUUCAGUGAAUCAUCGAAUCUUUGAACGCACAUUGCGCCCCCUGGUAUUCCGGGGGGCAUGCCUGUUCGAGCGUCAUAAAAACCUCCUCCCCCUUCGGGUUUUGUUACUAUCGUUGGGGGGUUUUGGCCUAAUGGGAUAGCGAUUGGCAAUUCGUUUCCCAAUGUCCUAAAUAGACGUAGACCCGCCUCCAGAUGCGACAGCACCGAGGCCAUCAACCGUGGAGUUAUGGGAUAUAAUAGGCUUGCAGUAAAAUGCUCACCUCUCUCCACACGCCGAUGGCACGACAGUUGCAGUUGCGGGCGUAAAUUGGAGCCCUUUUCAGGACCCUUGUGGCCUAGCAUCCACCAUACAUAAUUUGACCUCCGAUCACGUAGGGAUACCUGAACUUAAGCAUAUCAUAAUUCGGGAGGAAUUUUCUUUUCUAUUACUAUUCUCUCCCCC
rnacentral:rRNA from 1 species